GGACACCGAGGCUCCUCCCUUCCUCCCUCACCGCUCCAUGUGCGUCCCUCCCAAAGCUGCGCGCUCUGUCGAAGAGGAGGACCUUCCCCAAUAGAGGAGGACCGUUCUUUGGUCAAGGGUAUACGAGUAGCUGUGCUCCCCUGCUAGAACCUCCAAACAAGCUCUCUCAAAUAUUCUUUUGGUUUUGGUCUGAAUAUGUCAUUUUUGGCCUUUACUCUUGAGUGAUAUUUAGCUGAGUAUAAAU
rnacentral:snRNA from 1 species